ACCCGACCCCGACCCCAACCCCAGCGACCACUCCGCCAUGACACGAACCCCAACUGCGGUUCCGACCCCGACCCAACGACCUCAGCGACCAGUCCGCCACGACGCGAACCCCAUCUCCGGUUCUGACCCCGAUCCCAACCCCAGCGACCACUCCGCCACGACAAGAGAGAGUCUUGAAUCAGAUGGUCGUAAAACAUGAAUUACAAAGACGUGUGAGUUCGAGUUGAAUCCUGCGAAAAUUGAUUGAUUGUUCUUCUAAAUAAUUGUGAAGAUGGGUUAUUGAGGUUAAUGGAGCGCAGGGGACUUUGUAUGCGCCUCAGGUGAUGUAUCCUACUCGAUUUUUAUUGUUAAAUUUUGUGUUUUUGGGGGAAUUGGUAUGUUACUGAUGGGAAAGGUGUGGGUUUUGUUUGAUGGGUUUUGUUGAUCAGGUGAUUAUAUAUCUUGAAAUUUUCAAAUAUUGACUCUCUUUUUUUUGUAUAUGAUCAUUUAAACUGACUUUUUCUGUUCAUGAUUGUCUGAAGUUGAGCAUGAGUUUAUCCCUUUCUUGACAGUUGAAACCAGUAUUACCUGAAGAUGCAAGUCGUGUCAAUAUACCCUCUUGAUAAGUUAAAUAAUUUUUCGAUGGGGUAUUGUUCAUCUAGGUUCUUGUUUAGCUAAGCUUAAGUUUUUGUAGGCCAAAUAUCAGAAUCUAAUGCCGUAAACUUCUGUUUGCAGUGAGUAGCUCUACGAAAAUAUUCUUGAUCAAUGCAAGGAGACCAGUGUUGAGAGCUGCUCGAGGCAUUUUAAGAGUAGUAAGGGAGAGCUCUCAUCCUCUGUUUCUUUGUGAUGGAACGAAGAAGGGAGAGCAACAUAUUAGUUUGUUGUAUUUUCUGAGUUUGCUGAAAAAUUGUUUCCCUAAUAUCUUUUGAGUUUGCUGAAAAGUGUUUGUUGCCUUGAGCUUGCUGUUUUGAGUUUGCUGCGAGUUUGUUGUGAAUGAUGAGAAGAACAUGCAAGUCUGUUGUUGUAUUUUCUUAACAAACUGAACCAAUGGAGAGUUUGUUGUAUUUUCUUAACAACCCACAUCUUAUAUAUAUAUAUAUACCCUUGGUUCA